UACGUAGGGUGCGAGCGUUAAUCGGAAUUACUGGGCGUAAAGUGUGCGCAGGCGGCCGCGCAAGUCGAGUGUGAAAUCCCCGAGCUUAACUUGGGAAUUGCGCUCGGAACUACGUGGCUGGAGUGUGGCAGAGGAAGGUGGAAUUCCACGUGUAGCGGUGAAAUGCGUAGAUAUGUGGAGGAACACCGAUGGCGAAGGCAGCCUUCUGGGCCAACACUGACGCUCAUGCACGAAAGCGUGGGGAGCAAACAGG
rnacentral:rRNA from 1 species